GACGAACGCUGGCGGCGUGCUUAACACAUGCAAGUCGAACGGAAAGGCCCUGCUUUUGUGGUGUGCUCGAGUGGCGAACGGGUGAGUAACACGUGAGUAACCUGCCCUUGACUUUGGGAUAACUUCAGGAAACUGGGGCUACUACCGGAUAGCAGCUCCUGUUGCAUGGUGGGGGUUGGAACGUUUCGGCGGUCGGGGGUGGACUCGCGGCUUAUCAGCUUGCUGGUGGGGUAGUGGCUUACCAAGGCUUUGACGGGUCGCCGGCCUGAGAGGGUGACCGGCGACCUUGGGACUGAGGUACGGCCCAGACUCCUACGGGAGGCAGCAGUGGGGAAUAUUGCACCAGGGGCGGAAGCCUGGUGCAGCAACGCCGCGUGCGGGAUGGCGGCCUGCGGGUUGUAAACCGCUUUCGCCUGUGACGAAGCGUGAGUGACGGUAAUGGGUAAAGAAGCACCGGCUAACUACGUG
rnacentral:rRNA from 1 species